GUCCUCACCUCAGUUACGUCUCAGCGGUCAGAGGGGAAGGACGCAUCAGUCUAGCCUCUCGCGCACUUGCACUUGUCCCUCGCACGCAGGAACUAUCUCGCCUGCUAACCGAUAUCACAGUCGUUGCUGCCGCUGACUAGAAUUACAUAGACCACUUUUAUUUCCCACGGGAACUCGAUAUUCUUGAUCCAAUUAAAGACAAACUAUUGACCGAAUUUUAUUGUUGUAUCAAGAGUGGCCGCCAUCGACACACUUGAAGUACUACACGGGUGCUGAAGUGAGUGGCGGCGAGUCAGGAGGUUGGGCGGGAACUUCACGCCGCCCGCACGCCCAUACCUAAUGUUGGCGUGAUGCGAGACUCUGCGCUCAAAUUGUCAUCUGAUAUGGUGUGUUGACGUGGAGGAGUCAGGCGGAGGAGGAGGAGGAGGAGGCGGUGCAGGAAGUGGAGUGAGAGGUGGAGGAAAGAAGACCAAGGUGGCAGGCGACGCGCAGCCCUAUCUGGAGGAGGCGGCUAUGAGGAAGAUGGUGUCCAGCGUGAGGGGCGCCGCCUAUCGCCCCACACUGCCCCCGGAGAUAGCAACAGACGCAGCCAUUUAUGUUGCGGUAAUUGUGGUGUUUUACGCGGCCAUUAUCUUGCUCCUCGUGGGCACCAACCUACAUCGCCUUCGCCGCCGCCGCCGAAGCCCCACCAGUGCAUCCCAGCCCCUACAGACAACUAUCACAGCGCGGGACGCAGAUUCCACCUCACUAUUCUUCCCCACCUCACCGUCCGCAGCUGUUACCGCCGCCCUUCAUGACAAGGAGCGAUGGCAGGAGCAGGGAGAUGCUGUGCCAGUCUGAAAGCGAGGGUGUGGAGCGGCGGGAAGACGAGGAUAGUGAGGACAAACAAAAAGUAUAGUGUGACUGGAAAAUUUCACUAUUGCGCAGGAACAGGAAAAUAUGAAAGUAAAAGAGAGAGUUCCCAGUGACGAAUUGUGACAGAAAGGUGUGAAAAUAUAUGAUGGCUGGAAAAGGAGAGGAGAGAACUUGAUGGUUAACGGGGUGAAAAGUAAGAGUACAAGGACAGCGACAAGGAAGAAACAGGAGAGGAAGAGGAUGAUGUGAGAGGGUGGAGAAGUUGCAAGGGUGAGACUAAAUGCUCUUCCUUGGUAUUGGUGGUGGCGCUGUCUGUGUUUAAAGUGAGAGCAAUGUGAAGGUGUUGUGUUGAUGGAAGAGGAGAAAGAGAAGAAAGGAAGAGGAGGAGAGCGAUGGCGGCGACGAUGAGGAGAAAGAGGAGAAAGUAUAAGAGAAGCAGGGGAGAAAGACGGAAGAGGAGAGACAACUUGUGAAUAAUUGAGAUGCUGCGUGUUGUGUGUACAAGAGAAAGAGAAUGAGAUAAAAAUUAAUCUCACCGGAUCUUCAACACGCACACACACACGCACACACACACACACACACACACACACACACACACACACACACACACACACACA